rnacentral:rRNA from 1 species
UAGGCUUGACAUACCGAGAAUCUUCCAGAGAUGGAGGAGUGCCUGCUUGCAGGAAUUCGGAUACAGGUGCUGCACGGCUGUCGUCAGCUCGUGUCGUGAGAUGUUGGGUUAAGUCCCGCAACGAGCGCAACCCUCGUCGUUAGUUGCUAACAGUUCGGCUGAGCACUCUAGCGAGACUGCCUUCGCAAGGAGGAGGAAGGUGAGGACGACGUCAAGUCAUCAUGGCCCUUAUGCCUAGGGCGACACACGUGCUACAAUGGGGCGUACAGAGAGUUGCAAUACCGCGAGGUGGAGCCGAUCUCUAAAGCGUCUCUCAGUUCGGAUAGCACUCUGCAACUCGAGUGCUGAAGCUGGAAUCACUA